GACUGAAGACGUCACCUGAUGAUGACGAAACGUUUCUCCCACUGAAACGUCCAGAUGAACAGAAUCAACUUUUUAGGCAAACACAGUGAUAUACCUUACGUUAAGAACAGAUUUAACACUGAAUUUGAUCAAUGUAUUACCAUAACCUGCCUUAUACUGAACACUUUACGCAGCUGGAUAGUGUAGUGGUAAGACUACUGCUGCGAGAUCGAUCAACUUUAAACCAGACAACAAACGACGGAGGCUCCGGAAAAGUGCAAUCAAACGAUGAGUUUUAUUAUCACAGGAGAACAACCAACCGUCAGCAUACGGAAUGUAUUGCUCUGACAAAAAUACACUGGGUUCUGGUUUUAUAGGAUAAAAUAUCACACCUACGUCAAUACAGUUCAAAACUACAUGGUGACAGACGGGCAAAAGUUCAACUCGUACAGACAAGGCAUGGAUCAUCUGGACACUCUCACCAGUGAAGCUUAAAACCUUCUAGAAUGGAACAUCAACUCUAACCAAGCACAUUCAUGCAUUGUGUAUAAAAUGAACUCAACCUGUAAAAAGAGAAAGGUCAAUGUGAUGACAGACAUAUUUAAUGCAAUAUAAACACUGUAGGAAAUAUUACUGAUGAAUGAUACUGUGAAACAUGUUAUUAAUACAUUCUUCAUGAGGCAAAUUAUAUGGUAGCAAUAAAAUCUCUGAAUCCCAACACUA